UUAAAGUUUAAAUUUGGUUUUAAAAAAUAAUUUAUGAUUUUAUUAUAUGUAAAUAAUUUAUUUUAAAUAAGAGUUGGCAGUAAUUAAAAUUAAAUUUAUAAGAAAUUAUGAUUUAGAAAUUUAUAAUUUAAAUUAACAAAAUUUGUGCCAGCAGUUGCGGUUAUACAAAUAAUUUAAUUAUUUUAUUUUAGUUAGUAGUAAAUAAUAUUAUAUUUAUUAAUAAAGAAAAUUUAUAAGGUGAAAUUUAAAAUUUUUAUUUAAUAAAUUUAUUGUUAUAUGAAUUAUUAAAUUUAUGAAUAAACUAGGAUUAGAUACCCUAUUAUUAUAAAUGUAAAUAAAAUUACUUAAUUAGUAUUAGUUAUGUUCUUUAAAGUUAAAAAUUAUGGCGGUAUUUUAGUCUAUUUAGAGGAACCUGUUUAUUAAUUGAUAAUCCACAAUUUAUUAUACUUAUUUUAUUAAUUUGUAUAUCAUCGUGAAAGAAUAUUUUUUAAAAAUAUGUUUAAUAUUUAAAAUUAAAAUAUAAAUCAGAUCAAGGUGCAGUUUAUAAAUAAGUUUUAAUGGGUUACUAUAUAUUUAUAUUUGGAUAAUUAGUUGAAAAUUAAUUUGAAAUUGGAUUUAAAAGUAAUAUAAUUUAAUUUAAUUAUAUGAUUUUAGCUCUAAAAUAUGCACAUAUUGCCCGUCGCUUUCAUAUAAAUUGAAAUAAGUCGUAACAAAGUAGAUUUACUGGAAAGUGAAUCUAGAAUGAC
rnacentral:ncRNA from 1 species